rnacentral:lncRNA from 1 species
UUCUCUUCUUCAUUUCUUUUCUCCAUUUUUUUUCUCUCCUCUCAUUUCCUUUCCUUUCCUUCUCUUCUCUAUUUUGCUUCUUUUACCUAACUUGAUACAUUUUGAUCUUAUUUGAUCGACUUAACGGUCGAAUUGAUGAUAUCCGUCUCCCGAGUCUGUUUUAGACACUGAGGGGAAGUUUAAUGGAAAUGAUGUAGUUUAGAAUGGAUAAGCUAACCUCUCAGGAAUGUUGCUUCCCUUUUUGGUUGAGGCAUGCCUGUUGGGAAUGAGCUGAAUAUAAUUCUGAUCCUCACAAACUUCCUCCUUAUUUCUAAAACUCGGCACCUGUUCUAGUUGAAGAGUUUAGGUGAGUCCUAAAGUUUCGAGCGGGGUCUGACCUCCGUUUGUAGGCCUCCGCACACCAUCACUAGUUUCUUCGGGUUAUAGGGUAUUUUUUUAUUUCCAUGUUGAAUUGUAUUUCACUUCAUACUAUUGUUUUGUCGGUACCCCAUUAACAUCUCAUAACUUGACGAGUUUGAGCUCUACACGCGGGAACUCAUAUACAAAAAAAUCAUUUCUCUGCUGCAUUAUCAUCUUCAUUUAAAUCAUCAUUAUCAAAUGCUUUAGAUAUUAUCCUAUUUAAUUAGUAUACUCUUUACUCUUUUACUUGUUUCAGUCAUUUGACUGCGACCAUGCUGGAGCACCGCCUUUAAUCGAGCAACUCGUUAAAAGAAUAAAUCUAAGAUAAUUUUGAUCAUAAAAUAUUCAGUUCUACUUUACUGGCAAUAUUUAAUGAUUAUAACCUUUCAAUUUGUUGAUUAUUUUAAAUGCAAAUAUCAAAAAAUUACCACAAUCCGUUUCAUAGGAUCAAGAAAACCCAGUACUAAAAUAGUUUUUACACAGUUUUGAUAUUGAAAUAUUACUCAUAACACUAAAUGUAACAUUAAAAGACCAUUAUAUGUACAUAAAACGAAAGCUGGCAAAAUAAAAUGAGUCGACAGUUGGAACGUCUUUAAUAACCAGGCUUAGAACUAAACACUGUUCACAUAUUUUGUGAUAGCUUUCUACACAAAUGUAAUGCUAUGAAAAGUUAUGGCUAGAUAAUUGGAAUAACUGUUGAAAUUACAUUUCCCAUGAGAAAACUCUGUCAUUAUCUUACCUAUGAGUAGACAUUUCAGUUUUUGGUAAAUUUUCACCAUUACAUCCAUCUCAUGAGACAGGAGUAAUCCCUGAUCGGUGGGCUUUCAGAAUAGCUAUCACUAGUGGAAAGCAAUUGGGUGAUUGUUUCCUUCUGUGAAAUAAUUUUUCUUCUCUUAUUCCGUGACAUUUUCUAGUAAAUUUUUACUAUUACAAGUGUAAUAGUAAAAAUUUACCCACUCUUUUCAAAUGUGCUUUUUUUAUGACUAACAUAUAUGAGGGUAAGGUAGCAGCUGUUUCUAGCAGGUUGAAUGAUUUGGUGUAAGUGGUAUUGACAAUAUAACCAUUCUAGUUGUCUUGGAUCUAAGAAGACUAUCAUCAUCGUCAUUGUUUAACAUCCUCCUUCCAUGCUGGCAUGGGUUGGACAGAGGCUGCACCAUACUUCUGUUUUGCCAUGGUUUUUACAGCUGGAUACACUUCCUAACACCAACCACUCUGCAGAAUGGACAGUGCUUUUUAUGUGGCACCAGCAUAGGCGAAGUCAGUUUUGGCAUGGUUUUUACAGCUGGAUGCCCUUCCAAGUUCCAAACACUUUACAGUGUGGACAAUGCUUUUAAGUGGAACCUGCACUGACAGGGUCACCAAGUAACUUUGCAAGAUGAGGAGUCUUUGAGAGGGGAGGAGAUGAUCUUGUGCUAGAUGAAUGGUUAAGAGUAUGACAGAAACAUGUCUCUUGCUUCAGAGGAGGUACAUGGUUACCCAGAGGGAGGGAGAGUUAACAAGAGGACAGAAAACAAGUGCUGAUGUGAAGGAGAUACAUGAUUUCCUAGCCAAAGGUAAGAGCAAUCAAGAAUGAGGGAAGAAACAGGUGUGUUGUUGUAGAGGAGAUACACGGUUACCCAGCCAGAGGGAAGAUCAAUUAGUUAAUUUUUAUUAAUGUUAUAGACUUUCUUGAUGGUGAGCCUGGCUCUUUGGGGAAAUGUAUAGGUGUUGGUGGUGGUAAUAGUAAUGAAGACUCUUUUCUGCUCUCCCUCUCUAGUAUUAGACCCCAUCUCCAUACAGCCAUUAUUACCAAAUGGUAUGACCAGCAACAACAGACUGAUCUUGCAUUUCCUCAAAGCAUUUCAGUUCUCCAGUUAAAUGUUAAACACAGGACUUUAUAA